UUUUCCUUUAAGUUUGUUGCAGGUUUUUUGAAAGGUUAGUCUGUUUAAUUUGAAUGAAAUUUCUCCCAUAGUCAGUUUGUGCUGCCAAAGAAACAAAUGAUUUGGAGGUACAGAAUGGAGCCUGGUAAAUGGUGAAGAACAAAGUAAUAUUGUGAUAGGUUGUUGCAGACUUAAAAGGCACCUGAGGACAGCAUGAAGCAUAUAAUGAAGUCAUAUAACUGUAACAUCUAUGGCCAGGAGACACUGGCUUUCGAAGAUACUUGCUGAACACAGUUUUAAAUGAUGUGACAUAAUGAAACAGCAAAGUUAUGUUGGAUCGGAUGAUUAGUUCGUUUACCUAUGAGCUAAUAAGAAGGGAAAAGGCUGAGAUUCCGGGGUUUGUAGAAGGUGCAGCAGAAAUCACUAGGUAGAGGCGCAAUCGUUUUUCCAUAUACAAAUGCUACCCUCUGCUGGACAAUUGGUACAUUACAGCUUAAUUAUCUUGGAGAUUACUCCCUCCGAGUACCUUUUCCCAGGAUAACUGGAGGUAACAACGACUUCAUAAGCAGAACGGCUUAUAUCAUAAUCAGCUAUAUUUAUCCCACUGCUGCAAUAUGUAUUCUUCAUAUUGGGCAGAAAUAAAGCAGGAUAUUUACUGCAUGAAGACUUAUUACAUGUAAAGGUACAAAAUUCAGUUUCACAUUGUGAGAUAAGCAUAGAGCAGCCAGUUUUCUCGCAGGACUUGGGUUCGAUUUUGCAUCAGCCUGUGGUAUUUUAGAGUUUGCUUCAUAUGAAGCCUGUCAUUUUA